CAACUUUUCAAUAUUUGCUUAAUGAUCCUUCAAAAUUUUUUUUUGACCAUGGAUAGAUUUGGCCCCUCUAGCUUUUCAAUAUUUACUUAAUAGUAUGAUGCCAACAUAACUCUCUCUCUUUCCUAAUCGACAUACUCUUUUUAUGGGUGAAAAUAUAUUAAUAUCUUCUUACUUAUUGAGUCUUUGGUAAUAUAUUUCGAUCUCUACUCUAAAAAUUUUAUUUAAUAAUUUUUU
rnacentral:lncRNA from 1 species